CCCUGGUGCAAAUUUAUUAUAUGCAGUGGAGGUCCUUGUUUCUGGGCCCACUGAUAAGCAGUCUCUACUUGAUUCUGGAAUCCUGUGCUGUGUCAUUCAUAUUCUCAAUUCUCUUCUUGGUCCCAAUGAGGGUCAUUUGAGGCAAAAUGUUGGCAGUGAUAAGGAACCAGUAAUGGCAGAGAGAAAUCUUCGUGGUGACACUGAAUCAGUGUGUUGGCUUGAGGAGUUUUCUUUGGUAUCUGCAAUCAAGAAAGCAAAAUGCUUGGAGAAGAGGUGAAUUGAAGUUCCUUUAGUGGCAGUCAUCAUAU